UUACGACCAUAUCAUGUUGAAACACCGGUUCUCAUCAGAUCACCGAAGUUAAGCAAUGUCAGGUUUCGUCAAUACCUAGAUGAGUGAUCAUUUCGGAAAAUCAGGUUCUGUAAG